rnacentral:rRNA from 1 species
UACAGAGGUCUCAAGCGUUGUUCGGAUUCAUUGGGCGUAAAGGGUGCGUAGGCGGCGCGGCAAGUCGGGUGUGAAAUCUCGGAGCUUAACUCCGAAACUGCAUUCGAUACUGCCGUGCUUGAGGACUGGAGAGGAGACUGGAAUUUACGGUGUAGCAGUGAAAUGCGUAGAGAUCGUAAGGAAGACCAGUGGCGAAGGCGGGUCUCUGGACAGUUCCUGACGCUGAGGCACGAAGGCCAGGGGAGCAAACGGG